GGGGGAGAGAGACUGGGAAUCAACUGAAAAAGCUUUGAGGAGAGAGAAAAAUAUCAUACAGUAGAUUGAAAUGGAGUAAUAAAUAAGGUGCUUGGACACGUAACAACAUAUGGGAGAUGGCUGUCCCUACAAGGAUGGGGGCUUGAGAGAACAUGUAGGUGAUGCAAAAUAAGACGAGGCAGGCAAUGAAGACAAGCAAGGUUCAAUUAGAGAUGCAGGUCUCUAGACAAUAUAUCAUGGAUAAGUCUCAUUUACCAUAUGAACAAAUUCUGUUGUGCCUUUUUCUCCCCAACUGUAUACUGUGAUCAACAUAAUGCAAAAUGUUUGGUCUGAAUCA